GACGAACGCUGGCGGCGUGCUUAACACAUGCAAGUCGAACGGAAAGGCUCCAGCUUGCUGGAGUACUCGAGUGGCGAACGGGUGAGUAACACGUGGGUAAUCUGCCCUGCACUCUGGGAUAAGCCUGGGAAACUGGGUCUAAUACUGGAUAUGACCUUUCUCCUUAUGGGGUUUGGUGGAAAGUUUUUCGGUGUAGGAUGAGCCCGCGGCCUAUCAGCUUGUUGGUGGGGUGAUGGCUUACCAAGGCGACGACGGGUAGCCGGCCUGAGAGGGUGAUCGGCCACAUUGGGACUGAGAUACGGCCCAGACUCCUACGGGAGGCAGCAGUGGGGAAUAUUGCACAAUGGGCGGAAGCCGGAUGCAGCGACGCCGCGUGAGGGAUGACGGCCUUCGGGUUGGAAACCUCUUUCAGCAGGGACGAAGCGUAAGUGACGGUACCUGCAGAAGAAGCACCGGCUAACUAUGU
rnacentral:rRNA from 1 species